rnacentral:lncRNA from 1 species
CUGAAGUGUGUACAAGAGUCCCGGAUCAUCAAAACUUAAACUUUCCUUUCUACCAGGGUUCCAGAAAAUUGGCCCAUGGGGACAGCAAGCAAGCAUUUUAACGCGCACCCUUCGGUUGCAUAAGAAUUCCGGCAUAACAGGUAACAAUCACAGAGGAGACAAACGGGAUGCGAUCGACUGGACGGUACGAAACGGCCUUUCGAGAUCACAAGUCUGCGGCGCAAACCCAAAGUUUGGAGCACACUCCUUAGGAGUUCACUCGACAACCGUCGCCACCGACCCAGACGAAGAACGCUGAGAAAAUGGGUGCCCGAGGAAUCAACACAUCCGCAUUCAUCUCGAGGGCGGCGGCGGCGCAGGGCAUGCCGGGAGGGCGAGGCGGCGUGCUUUCUCGCGAGACUCGCCGAGCUCACGGACGGUCCCGGGCUCUUUCCGCGGCGGCCCAGAGCGCUUGGCUUGCGCUCCCGACGUGGAAGGUUUUCACGGCACCUAGAUGUCGCGGGAAGACUAGACGAGGGCCCAUCCCGCCUGGUGAUGCUGACUGCGGCCUCUGCCAUUUCUAGGCGGGCUGCACUUUGGUUGAAAUACAGCUGAUAAAUGCAUGAGACUAAGCAUCACAUCCUGCAGAAGCAACUGCAGUGCAGGGCAACCGUUCCCAGCCUCUUCCUUGCAGAAGCAACUGCAGUGCACGGCCACCAUUCCCGGCCUCUUCCCAGCUGCCUUCCCAGGGAGCAAGCACACUUAACUCUUUCUGGUGUCUCUGUCGUCAUCUAGAGAACGCACAUGCUAUGCUUAUAACACCAGCUUCUUUCUCUUUUCAAGACUUAUUUCUAUUUAUGUGCAUGUACAUAU